rnacentral:rRNA from 1 species
GAUGAACGCUGGCGGCGUGCCUAAUACAUGCAAGUCGAGCGAACAGACGAGGAGCUUGCUCCUCUGACGUUAGCGGCGGACGGGUGAGUAACACGUGGAUAACCUACCUAUAAGACUGGGAUAACUUCGGGAAACCGGAGCUAAUACCGGAUAAUAUAUUGCACCGCAUGGUUCAAUAGUGAAAGACGGUUUUGCUGUCACUUAUAGAUGGAUCCGCGCCGCAUUAGCUAGUUGGUAAGGUAACGGCUUACCAAGGCAACGAUGCGUAGCCGACCUGAGAGGGUGAUCGGCCACACUGGAACUGAGACACGGUCCAGACUCCUACGGGAGGCAGCAGUAGGGAAUCGUCCGCAAUGGGCGAAAGCUUGACGGAGCAACGCCGCGUGAGUGAUGAAGGUCUUCGGAUCGUAAAACUCUGUUAUUAGGGAAGAACAAAUGUGUAAGUAACUAUGCACGUCUUGACGGUACCUAAUCAGAAAGCCACGGCUAACUACGUG